CCAGAAACCACGUCUGGGCACUCCUGAGUCACAGGCUCAGAAGCUUUCGCCUCCGCCUUCAGACUGGCCCUCAGGCUUCCCUGCUCAGAGGCAGGGAAUUGUGCAGCUGGAGUUUCAUUUUCCAAGAGGCAGGGUCUCAGUCUGUCACCCAGGCUGGAGUACAGUGGCACCAUCUUGGCUCACUCUAGCCUCGACCUCCUGGGCUCAAGUGAGCCUCCUACCUCAGUCUCCCAAAAUGCUGGGAUUACAAGCAUGAACCACUGUGACUUGCCUUCUUGGCAAUUUUAAAUGAAAGAAGAAGAUGGAAUAAUGCCUACUGAGGACUAUGUUUGAGGGGUGUUGUAUGACCCCGUUUUCCAUACCCAGCCAACUUGUCAUGUGACAAGUCCACAGAAAGAUGUUAUAUGACAGGAAUCUAUGAACUAGUCUUCCCUGAAAUGUACCUGACUACAGCUAACAUCAUAUCACAUGAUGAAAGACCGCGUUGUUUUCCCCUGAGGUUGGCACCCCUUCCCUUCUGCCCUGCCUCUGAGUUCAAGCCGGGAUGCAGCUCCUAGUGUUUUCAAGCGUCUUACAGAUGGAGAUCAGCCCCGUCUUCCUCCAACGUCCCCACCCCGCAUCGGAGUCAGGACUCCACGGUGCUGUGGUCAGCACGGCUGCAUGGUCCUGCGACCCUGAGCCCCAGUGGGCUCUGACUGUGGUUACCAGCGCCUUAGGAGACAGAGUAACAGUCUGGAAGCAGAAACAGAGACUGUCCAUUUCAUAAACAGCCACAUCCGCAAGGUUUAUUCCUGGAUCACAAACCAACCC
rnacentral:lncRNA from 10 species